UAGCCAGCACCUAGCUCUCUGCAACUCUCUUGUUCACCCACUGAAGCUAAGCAGGGCUGCGCCCGGUCAGUACCUGAUGGGAGACCAACUGGGAAAGCUAGGUUGCUGCCAGA
rfam:Danio rerio chromosome 14, GRCz11 reference primary assembly.